CUGUCCUACGGAGGCAGCAGUGGGGGAUAUUGCACAAUGGGGGGAACCCUGAUGCAGCGACGCCGCGUGGGUGAAGAAGCGCCUCGGCGCGUAAAGCCAUGUCAGCAGGGAAGAAAAUGACGGUACCUGAAGAAGAAGCCCCGGCUAACUACGCGCCAGCAGCCGCGGUAAUACGUAGGGGGCAAGCGUUAUCCGGAUUUACUGGGUGUAAAGGGGGCGCAGACGGCGAUGCAAGCCAGGAGUGAAAGCCCGGGGCCCAACCCCGGGGCUGCGCUUGGACCUGCGUGGCUGGAGUGCAGGAGGGG
rnacentral:rRNA from 1 species